ACGGGAGGCAGCAGUGGGGAAUAUUGGACAAUGGGCGCAAGCCUGAUCCAGCGACGCCGCGUGAGUGAAGAAGUAUUUCGGUAUGUAAAGCUCUAUCAGCAGGGAAGAUAAUGACGGUACCUGACUAAGAAGCCCCGGCUAACUACGUGCCAGCAGCCGCGGUAAUACGUAGGGGGCAAGCGUUAUCCGGAUUUACUGGGUGUAAAGGGUGCGUAGACGGCUUAGUAAGUCAGAAGUGAAAUCCCGGGGCUUAACCCCGGUGCUGCUUUUGAAACUAUUGAGCUAGAGUGCUGGAGGGGCAAGCGGAAUUCCUGGUGUAGCGGUGAAAUGCGUAGAUAUCAGGAGGAACACCGGUGGCGAAGGCGGCUUGCUGGACAGUAACUGACGUUGAGGCACGAAAGCGUGGGGAGCAAACAGGAUUAGAUACCCUGGUA
rnacentral:rRNA from 1 species